rnacentral:misc_RNA from 1 species
UAUGGUUGCGCACAUAACCUUACAUCAUGGACAUGUAUUCAAGAUAUCCUUUCUCAUAGAGUUAAUGCUGUCUUAGAAAUAACAAUUUCUGUAGAGUCUCUUUGUAUGAUGUAUUGAUGUGUGCGCAUCAGGAAUAUUUAGCUAGUUAAAAUUCUCCUAUUUUUCUCCCUGUCUGGACUUCUCAUAUUUCCUUUUUACUUAAUAUUUUGUAGCAAACCUGGUAGCAAAUCUUGAAACAUGUGAACCCAGGUUGUUUUCUUGUUUGCUUUCUGUGUGGAAAUUGCUAAGACUAUUUCUGAUGCUUUUGCUCUAAAAACAGCAGAAAUUUCUUGGGGAGUUCAAAACUUCUUUUGACAACAACGAGAUGCCUUGGUUUACAUUUUAACUUCAUGUUUCAAUCGAAGAUGCACCAUUGCUUUUUCCAAUAAUUAUAGCUUGUUUUCAUUAAUCAAGGAAGUAUCUUAGUGGCCACUGUUGUCACGAUUACGUAUUUUAGUUUGUCAAAUUGUGCCAUGUUAAAAUUUAAUUAUUGUGUGGCCUAAUGCAUUGACUUCCUUAACAACUGCAUACAUGCAGCGGAAGAGGAAAUCACGGAAAGUUGGACAUCAUUCUACUCUUACUUUAUUGAGGAAAGAGCUCCGAGAAGGAAAUCUACAAUCUCUUUUUGGGGGUUCUUCCUGUAUAGUUUCCUCAUCCAAUGCAGCGCCUGAUCCUUUGUUGUCUUCAUUCAUUUUGCCCAUGGCUGAUGAUUUUGCAAGUGCUCAACCUUCUUUUUCAAAUGAAACAAGCUCAGCCAAGAAAAGCUUGGAUGAGAAUGUUUUAGAGCGGUAUGUUAGCUAGUUGUUCUUCUGUAUACUUUCCUAUAGCAUUUUACUUGGUCAUAUGUUAGAAUGCAUAUACACUAAUGAUAAACCACAAUUGGUAUAAUAUUUAGGUGCAAUAUCAUAGAGAAAAAUAAUAAUCAUCUCUAUUUAUGCCUUGAAGUAAUAAAAAGGGCCUCUCUGAUGGUACUUUUACUUGGGGAAGAUACAAAAUGGUUUAAGCCAUUUUCAAGUAAAGUAAUGUGGUUUGAGUUUUGACAAAACAAGUACCCUAUGGUUAAGUGUGUUAGCAAAUAAAGUCCAAACACUCUAAAUGCUGUUAACGGUUGCUGGUGUGGCAAGGAAAAAAAUAGUGUCACUUCAGCAGCCAUUAACAGUGUUAGGGUGUUUGGACAUUCUUUGCUAACUGACUUAACAACUGGGUACUGGUUUAUCAAAGCUCAAACCGCAGGACCCUACAUGGAAAUGACUCAAAUCACAUCUUUUUUUUAUUUUUUUGCCAUUUUUUCGUUAAUUGAUGGAGUAAGGGUGUCAUGAUGCACUAUGCAUAAUGUUUAAUUUGAUGUUAUAAGAUAUCCAUAAGAGGGCAAAUUCUUUGGUCCAUUGAUGAAUAUGAGAACAAAAUUGUUAAGGAUGCAUUUUGUUGGCUUUGAGGGAGAGGGUUGGUGGGAGAGUUUGAGCUGGACUAGAAGUGACCCAGGUAUGGUGUACCCGACUUUUUGUGGACAAUGGACAAUUAAGAGAGCCUUUCCAACAACAUCUAGCCUAAACUUCUGUUCUUUUAGAUGCCAAUCAUACCCUCUGAUUAUUAUACCAUGCCUCAUUGGUUAAGCAUUUUGGGCAUUUAUACUCAAGAAUCCAUUUGCCAUGUCAUGAAGUUCUGAACUUAAGCUUCAUCAGAUUAGAUGAAAAAUUGUGAUCAUUUAUUCAUUUGAUCGAGUAUAGCCAUAUUACAGUUUGCCUUCUCCCACAUACAUUCCCAAUCAUUUUGUUACAGUAUGUGAAAUUAUUAGAUGAACAUGACCUAACGGGAUGCCACAGCUGAGAUGCUUUCUCAAAUAACUAAUGAUUUUGCUGCUGAUGUGACAAUAUGCAGCAAGUCAGGGGAAAAAAGAGGUUGUUAUUUGGAGGGUACUCAAUAACUUCCAUUCCCCUCAAAUGACACCUCCAAAAUGAUUUUUUUUGCAUGUGCGCAGGGGAUGGGGAUUAAUGAGAAAAUAGGAAUGGAUUGUAAAUUUUUUAUUUCUUUUUGACUUUCCUUGUUAUAACUUUAAUUUUUAUUUUAACAUUUCAUAAUCGGCCCUAAUUUUAUCUUUGUUUUCAUGGUUGCUUUCCUUCUCUUACUUUUCACCCAAAACCAAACAAGAGAAGGUUUCCCUCUCAUUUUUCCUUCACCCUCUAAUCAAACAAGGAAGAGUAACUGCAUUAACUUUCCUUCCUUUUUCCUCUCCUUCCUUUCUCUUUUUUCCCAAAAACUUCUCAACAUGCCAUGGGACCCUGUGCUGAGUUUGUUCUGUUACUGCAUCCAGAAUUGUAAAAGGUUGAUUUCCAAGUUUGUCUGAAGUGGAUCAAUUUCUAUAUAUAUUGCAUAUUAUGGUCCCUACUUACAGUUGAAAUCUGAAUGAUUUAGUCAUUUUCAAAAUUUGUUGGGUCUCAUCCAAAUGAACAAUAUCUAAUAUUUUGGUUUUUGGCGGCAGAAAUAUGAAGUCAUCUCCCCUGUCAGUUAAGGAUCAGGAAGAGAAAGCCAAGAGGAGUGAAUUUGUUCAAGGGCUAUUGUUGUCUGCCAUUCUUGAUGACAUCUUAUGAAGAGGACUCAUACUGGCCACCGCAGUUAUAGAAGUCCAAUUUUCAACUAAGGGCCCUACAAUCUUUGGUUGGUUUGUAGUGAAUAUGCCAAAUUGCCAAUGUAUUGAAGGCAAGAGUGUUGAAUAAGGUUUAGGAAUGAGUGUAAGCUAUUUUCAUGUGAACUUCAGUUGUUGGACCUGAACAGACUUUCACUUUCAGGUCAUCGUUAAAAGAAAAGAAAAAAAAAAAUUUCUUUUCCUCUCGUCCUCUCCUCUCUCAAUAGUAAAAUGGUUUUGCUUUACUGAUGGAUGCUAGAAGCACUGCAUUCUCAUUAUGUGUUCUAUCGAAUGAGUUGUGGAUAUGAAUGUUGUAUAUCUUCUUGUUCAGUGAUCAAGUUUAAGAAGAAAUCGCUUGCCUUUGGAUGUAUGAUAAAC